rnacentral:rRNA from 1 species
UACGGGGGGGGCAAGCGUUGUUCGGACUUCCUGGGCGUCAAGGGCUCGUAGGCGGCCAACUAAGUCAGACGUGAAAUCCCUCGGCUUAACCGGGGAACUGCGUCUGAUACUGGAUGGCUUGAGAUUGGGAGAGGGAUGCGGAAUUCCAGGUGUAGCGGUGAAAUGCGUAGAUAUCUGGAGGAACACCGGUGGCGAAGGCGGGUUGCUGGGCCGACACUGACGCUGAGGCGCGAAAGCCAGGGGAGCGAACGGG